UACCUCGGCUCCAUACAGGCAUCACUGAUUACCCACGUGGCUAAUUUCAGUCUCCAGUACUUGAAGUCCCAGCCUUGAGUAACCUUGGUAACGUGGCUCAAAGCCACAGUGAGAAAGCCCUAAAUCACAUUGUUACUAUCUGGCUGGCCCAAGGCCCCCAGGCAAACAGACACUCUUGUCAGUCAUGACAUUCCAAGGACCUAGAGAUUACCUCCCAGAAACCAAGAGCAAAGGCCAGACCAGUCUUUAAGUAAGGUUAAUUCCUUGCUUCACAAACAGACACCUCUGACAGUGAAUAUUCUGCCUCCAUAAUGACAGUCUGUGAUAAGAAGGAAUUAAGUCAAAGAUAAGCAGAGGUAAAAGAUGAGACAAGAGAGCAAUAAGGUUAUAAUCUGAGUUCCCAAACCAGCCACACCUGAAGCCAGCUGCCUCCUAGCUUCCUCAUUUGCAUGCACUACCAUAUUGCCUUUUUCGCUAAAGUUUGAUUGAGUUUAUAUUUGCCCUUCAAGUUAGAGAAGUUCUCAGGUAGGAGAGAGCAUUUUCAUUUCAAAGAUUUGAAAGAAAGGCUGGUGCUGUGGCUCACACCUGUAAUCCCAGCACUUUGGGAGGCCGAGGUGGGUGGAUCACCUGAGGUCAGGAAUUCAAGACCAGCCUGGCCAACAUGGUAAAACCCUGUCUCUACUAAACACACACACACACACACACACACAUACACACACACAAAAGCAGGACAUGGUGGCACGCACCUGUAAUCCCAGCUACUCAGGAGGCUGAGUCAGGAGAAUCCCUUGAACCUGGAAGGCAGAGGUUGCAGUGAGCCAAGAUUGUGCCACUGCACUCCAGCCUGGACAACAGAGCAACACUCCAUCUGAAAAAAUUAAAAUAAAAUUUUCUAGCAGCUAAAUUUAAAAUAGUUAAAAGAAAUAGGUGAAACAAACAUUAAUGAUUUGUUAUAUUUAACUUACUAUAUCAAAAGUAUUAUUUCAGCAUAGAAAGAAUAUAAAAAUUAAUAAGGCAUUUUACAUUCUUCAUAUAGUCUUUGAAAUUCAGU
rnacentral:lncRNA from 1 species